GUUCUCUGGAGAGCCCUGAAUACAUCACAUGAAAAUAUCUUCAGUAGUAUUCAGGGAGAUGCCAGUUCAAAACACUAUGGGCAGAGAACAUUGUGGCUAAGAAGUGGAAGCAUUAUCCAUUUGGGGAGCUUCAAGGUGAGGCGGCUGGAUAGACUUAACUUUCAGGCAAGCAGUGAAAGCUGAUAAAAACAAAAG
rnacentral:lncRNA from 1 species